UUUCGCGUUUGGCUUACGCGCCAUAAUACCGUUACCGACAGCGUGCAACAGGUGGGUUUUACCCAGACCCGUACCGCCAUA
rnacentral:antisense_RNA from 1 species